CAGACCUUUUCCAUCGGAGGACACAGCUCUGAAUGAGGAUGAUGUGUACCGGAGCCUUGAAGAGCUGGCAGAUGAGCAUGACUUGGGUGAGGAUGACAUCUACGACUGUGUGCCAUGUGAUGACGAUGGGGACGACAUCUAUGAGGACAUCAUUAAGGUGGAAGUACGACAACCCAUGAAGAUGGGAAUGACAGAAGAAGACAAAAGAAAUUGCU